rnacentral:rRNA from 1 species
GCGACCUCAGCUCAGGCGAGAACACCCGCUGA